CAGAUAGGGAGGGGGGGUGGGUACAUUGGAGACCUGUUGGCAGACGGGAACGGGGUCUCCAAUGCAGGUCCAGGAACUUGGGCAGCCACGGCGGGUCAGGUGCCACGGGCGGCCACGGCGGGUCAGGUGCCACGGGCGGCCACGGCGGGUCAGGUGCCACGGGCGGCCACGGCGGGUCAGGUGCCACGGGCGGCCACGGCGGGUCAGGAGUGUCGGGAGGCCACGGCGGGUCAGGUGGCUUGGGCGCCCACGGCGGGUCAGGUGGCUUGGGCGCCCACGGCGGGUCAGGUGGCUUGGGCGCCCACGGCGGGUCAGGUGGCUUGGGCAACCACGGCAGGUCAGGUGGCUUGGGCAACCACGGCAGGUCAGGGUCCGUAGCUGGCCACAGCAGUUCACAGGCGGUUGAAGGCCGUGGGCGUGUAAGGUCCCCACCCGCAAGCUCAAGCAAUUCGGAGGCCGCUGAUGAUCGCGGCCGUGCAGGGUCCCCACCCACAGGCUCCCCACCCUCAGGUAUAUGGCCCCCCCCAAAAAAGUUCUUGGGGAAUUCAACGGAGGCCGUGGCGGUUUCGUGGGUAAGGAGCUCGGGUGGCGCCGGCAGGGCGAGGAGCUCGGGUGGCGCCGGCAGGGCGAGGAGCUCGGGUGGCGCCGGCAGGGCGAGGAGCUCGGUGCCGGCCUCCGUGGCUGUAUCAGGAAGAGCGGAUUGCUCUGGGACGACAGCGGACUGCUCAGGGACGGCAGCGGGCUGCUCUGGGACGGCAGCGGGCUGCUCUGGGACGGCAGCGGGCUGCUCUGGGACGGCCUCCGGGCCUACAGCGGGCUCUGGGAAGGCCUCCGGGCCUUGAGGGCUGGAGGAAGCCUUCUUCCUCCUCCUCCUCCGUUUGAAUGGUUGAGGCGGUGGCUCUGUGCCUACCUCCUCGGUGGGCGCUGCAGCGGGCUCAUGGGUUGAAGCAGACUCACGGGCUGGAGCUGGUUCUGGAGUGGACUCACUGGCUGGAACGACCCCUGUGUUGCCAGACACUGGCGGGGCGGCCAUCUUGCCCGUGGGCACUGGCAAAGCGGCCAUCUUGUCCAUAGCAUCCAGAGAGUUUGAGUGCGUAGCAACCGGCGAGCUUGAGUGCGUAGCAACCGGCGAGCUUGAGUGCGUAGCAACCGGCGAGCUUGAGUGCGUAGCAACCGGCGAGCUUGAGUGCGUAGCAACCGGCGAGCUUGAGUGCGUAGCAACCGGCGAGCUUGAGUGUGAAGCGGCCGGCGGAGGCUUAGGAAUGCCGUACUGAAGUCAGCGCUGGAUCAGCCACACUGGAACGCAACCCACUCCGCUCCCAAACAGAUCCAGAGACGUGAUGUAAUUCUAGAAGAUCAACGGAGACUUGACUUGGCUCUGGAAGAUCAGCGGAGACAUGAUGUGAUGAUGUUGUGGCCGCCAUUUUGUGAAUGCUCUCUUUAGAGGCAGCCAUUACAUGGGGGGACGAGGUGUCGCGUUCCUCCGCGACACCCACAGUAAAAAGUGAACCAACAGUAAGCAGGGCAAAGUCCAGAAAUUCCACGAACGACCCUCGGGGACCAUUAAUAAGUAAGUAGUCCUUCAAUGGUUUGUUUAAUCCAUAGCCAAAGAAGUCAAUGAGGGCACAGUCAGGCAGGUCAGAGAAAUAGGCGAUGUCUAGAAACUUCUGAAUGUGGUCCUCGAGUGUACAAUUACCUUGCCGAAGGCGGACGAGACGUAUUGCUGGGUCCAUGCUAAGGCUGGAAGCGCUCGUAGAAGCUGCUGGAUCGUUUGAUGGCGAAGUCUUCUGUAAUGAUGGGUCGAAAGCGUGAGGAUCCAUUUGCAGCUUUAUUACGAUAAACACCAAAGCAGACAGGGGCAAAGGCAGAGACACAAACAGGGACAGGCAAUGGUCGAGGCAGGCGGCAGACAAGCAGAGUAAAGUCACAGGCAAUGGUCAGGGCAGGCGGCAAACAAACACAGUCCAAAUAACAGGCAAGGAUCAGGGCAGGCGGCAAACAAACACAGUCCAAUAAACAGUCCAACGGUAACAGAAAAACAAUCCACAAGAAAACGCUCAGUAGUGAUCACCGGGGCAAAUCAAGACUUCGCAAUGAGGUGGUGUGUGUGUGAGUCCUUUAUAGUCCAGGUAGUGUGCUAAGCUGUAUGUGGCAGCUGGUGAUUGGUGUGGAGUGUGCAUGUGAUUGGCAAGGAGGAUUAUGGGAAAUGGAGUCCAGGAACUGACAGGAACAGACAGCGAUCGUGACAAUAGGCCUAUAUAUAAUAUACAAAUAUAUGCCUACAAUAUUUCCUUGUUUAUCAGUUUUUUGACAUUACACAGAAGCCUAAAAUACUUUCUGACUGUUGUCAUGUCAUAAGCUGUCAUUAGAUUACUGUGUGAAUUUUUUAUUUGUUGUUUUAUUUUUUAUUUGUUUUGAUGAUGAUGAUAAUUUGAUGAUAGUUUAUAAACCUUUUUCCUGUGUAAUAAAAGAUUGUAAUCGAAACACAGUCCAUAUAAUGGAUUUCAUUGACUGUUUGAAAAAUAGAACCCUAACAAUGUAAAUGAAUAAGACUAGGCAAGCCUAGUUUAGCUGGACUAAUUAAAGGAAAAUUUAUAAGGGAGUGUUUUGAAUUGUUUUGAAAUACUGUAAUUUUGUUUUCCAGGAAUGAGUCUUAGUGGAGCUGAGAUAGCAAGGAGAUAUAGGGAAUGUCGUGAUGCUGACCCAGAGAGAAGAAGAAAGUACCUUGAGAAAGAGAGAGAAAAAUGGAGAAAAGACAGAGAGACUGGAAAGAAGAAGGGUAUUAAUGAGCUAAGUGAGAGAGAGAAAAGGGCAAAAAGAAAGAAAUGGAGGGAGGCAAAAAGGGAAGCCAGGGCCAGAGCCAGAGCCAGUGCUUUGCUACAGUCAGAGACACCACCCAACUCUCCUAAUAUUCCUGAAGCUCCUGAAAAUCAGCCUGAGCCAGGCCCCUCCAGGUUAGAACAUGGA